CCCAGGGUUUGGGUCCCACUCAGUGGGGGGUCUUGGGGGCUGGUCUUCCGCAAAGCCUGAAGAACCCUUCCUGUGGUCUGGUUAAUUGGUAUGGCUAGCCCGUUGCUAUUUUGUGGGUCCAGGAAGACAUUUCAGUCCUUCUCCACAUUCAGAGUUGAGCACAAAAGCACUUGGUAGUCCUGGAUUGGGAGAGUUCAGGAUCCAUGCAUAUGAUACCCGAACCGAGAUUGGCUUUGUGGCUUUCAGAGAUAGAUUGCAGGCAUUUUUGUAGUGUUCACAGAUCCACAACUCACAGACCUACGACUGUAUAUGCAGUUUGAGAAGAAAUUAGAAUUAGUACACAGGUAGACUGAGAGAGAAUAUGCUGCCCUGAAAAUACUUUUGUUUUGGUUUUGGGGAGGGAUGUCUGUUUUGAGCUUCCUGUGCUUCUUGCCUGGUGUUCUGUAGAGAAUUUUGCAUUCCAAAAGAUAGGCCAGGCUCCCUUCCUGUGUCUGAAAGCUCCAGGAGGUGCUCUGAUAGAGGCGUCCCGGCCUGUUUUUGGGAGCUCAUCUCUCCUCAGCUGGCAAUGCAGGUUGUAUCUGGUUGACACGCCAGUGGUUUUGCAUAGAUUUUUCUCUAGAACCUUUUCUGAGGCAUAAGGGUCCCCACUUCCUUGAAAGGAGGAUCUCCGUUAUGUCUUAGUAAAGUUAACGAGAGUGAGAAUGAGAGAAGGGGUAUCUAACUUAUUUGGAAAAUGAUCGUUCUCAUUUUUAACUUUUCCUUCUCUCUACUGUCUAGACCUAUAGCACUAAUAUAAGUGAGGAGAUGCUUUAUGGAGACCCAUAAAGAUGCUAUGGUCCUAACAGUCCCAGCCUUGGUACAUUUUUCUGUCGUUCAUUUUUUUCUUACUGUGGUUAAAUUUUCAUUCGUGUAGUUUACCUCUUAGCUCUCUUAUCUUUUUUUUUUUUAAGAUUUAAAAAAAUUUUUAAGUCAUCUCCACACCCAAUGUGGGGCUCGAACUCAUGACCCCAAGGUCAAGCGUCAUAUGCUCUACUGACUAAGCCAGCCAGGUGCCCCUUGCUCUCUUAGUUUUGCAUUUACAUGUCACGUAUUCAGGUUUGCUUGGAGUGUAAAAUAUGUUUCAAACUUGAGAGAGAUCAAAACUAGGUAAGUUCAUGAAAUAUAGUGCCUUCUCUCCUAUGCCAGAGUUAUUUAGAAGGGAGCAAUGGAACUUUUUGGAUUGGUCCCAUUCUGCACUGGGCUACUUAGGCUUUCAGUCUGUGGUUCAGUUCAUUGGCACUCAAUGCCAAAGGAACUAAGGUCAAGGGUUUGAUCCUCAGGUGGGCCAGCUGGCUGCGUAUUUUUCCAACAGGUUGUAUGGAGAUUCAGUGCAGUCCCUACAGAAAUGCUGGUCUUCAAGGGGUUCUGGUGAACAUAUGAGUGACUGGGUGAAAAUCCAGCUCCAUUACUGGAAAAGCAAAGCCCGUGCCCUACUGUCCUUUUUGCAUCUGGACGGAACGUGCCACUUAAAAUGUGAGCUUGUUACUCAACCUCCUUGCGUCUCUGUGUCCUCAUCUGGAGAAUGGAGAUAAGAUUUGCUCCCUUUCUACCUCACCAGGAUCUGUGAAGAUUAGAUAAUGGCUGUAAAGUCCUUAUACAAAGGCACGCUUGGGUGAUUUUCACAGUAUACCUUGGAGUUUAAGUUGUAGCAAGGAGCCACGGCCAUCGCUCAGCAGCACAGUUUGCUCUCUCCAGCUUUAUUAUGGCACACAGCGACAACUUCAUUUUUAGCAUUAAAAAAAAAAUUCUCUUCACUUAAUUCAGACAGUGACCUGCAGGCCUCAUUCUGACUGAAGGAGCCAUUCAGAAUACUUGCAGACAAAAGCAGGGCUUUUUCCUAGCAACCAGAUCAAAGCCAAAUCUCCCAGAAUAGCUCCCUCCCAGGUUUUCUUUGGCGCAUAGGUUCACAAGGAUUCUAAGGCUCGUGGUAUCCAGUUCAAACUACUCUUUCAAACUGAAAUGGAAAGGAAAACUCCUGAGGAAUUUUCGCAGACUCUGAAAACCGGCGAGCGCUGCAAGAGCACUUCAUCUUGGGAGAACGUGGUGGUCAUUUGGAGCAUCCCUAACUUUGUUAUCGCCCGCAUCUGCAUGUACAUUCUGUCGGACUUCCACAGAAUGAGGUCUCUGUUUCCUUUCUGCCAGUACCUAAUAUCAGCUAUGCCCAGGAGCCGGCUGAUGAAGACUUCCUGUUUGUUUUGAGUCACUGUUAGAGUGAUAAAUAUACUUUAGCUCUCUGCUUAGAGAGGAAAGAAACCAGCUGCCCUGAACUACAGAGAAAAAAUGCAGAAAUUCCGCUGAAUGGCCCUGUUAUCAAGGAGUUUCAAGGGCAGCAUCAAAAUGAAAACUAUAAGCCAGGGCAAAGUAAAUAAUUUCCAUAUUAAAGCAUCUUGCUGCAUGCAUAGACCUAAGUUGUUUGUCUUUAAUCAUUUAGGCAAGCGUUGCAUUUUUCACUCUUCUAAGACUAACUCAGCAAUGUUGAGAGAUUUUUAAAAAUGUAAACUGAUGCUACAGAAUAAUGGUGAGCUAUAUAAAUAAACAAUUACAGUUGUGGUUUUUUGAUCUGACCACAAGCUUUUAAUGCCAUUUUUGCAUGAGCAUAGAAUGCUUCUGGAUAAACAAUACUGUUGACAUUGUCAGUGGCAUCCACUGUUGCAUUGAGUCAUUUACAUAUGUGAUUAUUUGGAUAUAGAGUAACCCAAGAACAAAAGAAUACUAUAAAAUGAUUUAAAACAAGAGCAACAGGAAAUCCUUUACAGCUUAAACAGCACUUCUUAAAUAAAGCUGUGGAAUUUUUGUGUUUUGA